AGAUUCGAUAAAAUACACAUGCACCCAAAAACCUAUGAACCUCUGUUAAAGAACCACAAUCCUCUUUCAUCCUUCCAAUUGCAUCAACUUUAGUCAGAUCUGGUUUUCUUCCGUAAGAUCCGCAUAAAUGUCCAACAAUUACAACCUCUCGCACUCCAAAUACGGACUUCAUACCCGAUAAUGUAAGAUGAACUUCUCCAAGCCGAGUUAAAAUCUUUUCACAAUCUUGUAUAUGAUCAACAACAUAUCUGCGACAUCCCCUCGUAUCUAAAGUUUCAUCCUUGUCUCCUUCUCUGCACCCUUUUAUAGGAACAUCAUCUAGAAAAGACAUAGUCUUUUUC
rnacentral:lncRNA from 1 species